rfam:Felis catus isolate Cinnamon breed Abyssinian chromosome B3, whole genome shotgun sequence.
ACCUGGGUGGCUUAGUUGGUGAAGCGUCCGACUUCGGCUCAGGUCAUGAUCUCGCAGUUCGUGGGUUCGAGCCCCGCAUCGGGCU